CACGCUCCCACACACACACACACACACCACACACAAAAAAAUACUAACUACACUGUAAACAUGAGAAAGCUGACAGUGUUGGUGGUUGCUCAGUUCGGUUCCAUGGAGUCCAGUGAUCAUUAUAUUGCAAUGCUACUGAAUGUUAUUCAUUAUCCAUGAUGGAAAUGUCCAUAAAGCAGCCCUCUAAGUUAAUAUUAACAUAGUAACUACAAUCAUGAUCCACCACUAUCAUGUCAUUAGUGAUUAUACUAGAAUUUGCACAGUUUGCACAACUUGAUCUCAUAUUACAUUUAAAAUAAAAGCAGAAAAAACAUUAUUUGAGAAAGCUGACAGUAGUUUCAUUAAAUGCAGAGAAAUUGUGUUACAAUUGAGUGUAUAAUGAAAUUACCAUUUCUAAUGAAAUAUUGAACAAUAAAUAUCAAGUAUGUUGUUGGGUUUGAAAUGAAUAUUAGUCUGUAACCACAAUGUUUACAAGCACGUUUGUGACAACAAAUAACACUGAAAAGAACUCCGUAUGGAUUACAGUGAAAAAAGAUGCAGAUUAAAAGUUUCAUCAAGGCUCAUACAACAUACUCUUUGAGUAGUCUCCAGUUAGACCAACAUUAAUGCUUCAUGUGUUUGAUUCUAUGCAAACUCAGUGAUCCUCCUUGUUUCUCAGCUAUAAAAACUUCACAUCAGACUGUCAGUGGAGAUCACAGCACAUCAGUUUCACCAUAAACCAUGUUCUCUGUAGCUCUGCUGCUGCUGUUGGCAGCUGGAUCCUGUGUGAAGUGUGAACAGUUGACACAGCCAGCCUCAGUGACUGUGCAGCCAGGUCAACGUCUGACCAUCACCUGUCAGGUCUCUUAUUCUGUUAGCAGCUAUUGGACAGCUUGGAUCAGACAGCCUGCAGGGAAAGGACUGGAGUGGAUUGGAAGUAGAAUUGGAUCCACCACAGCCUACAAAGAUUCACUAAAGAACAAAUUCAGUAUCGACUUAGACUCUUCCAGCAACACAGUGACUCUAAACAGACAGAAUGUGCAGCCUGAAGACACUGCUGUGUAUUACUGUGCCAGAUACCCACAAUAA